rnacentral:tRNA from 1 species
AGGGAUUUAGCUCAGCGGCAUAAGCGCCUGCCUUGCAAGCAGGCAGUUGUGAGUUCAAUACCUA